UACAGAGGUCCCGAGCGUUGUUCAGAUUCACUGGGCGUAAAGGGUGCGUAGGUGGCGAGGUAAGUCGGAUGUGAAAUCUCCAAGCUUAACUUGGAAAUGGCAUUGGAAACUACCUGGCUAGAGGUUUGGAGGGGGGACUGGAAUGCUUGGUGUAGCAGUGGAAUGCGUAGAUAUCAAGCGGAACACCAGUGGCGAAGGCGGCUACCUGGACAAUUGCUGACGCUCAGGCACGAAAGCGUGGGGAGCAAAAGGG
rnacentral:rRNA from 1 species